AACGAACGCUGGCGGCAUGCCUAACAUAUGCAAGUCGAACGAGACCUUCGGGUCUAGUGGCGCACGGGUGCGUAACGCGUGGGAACCUGCCCUUAGGUUCGGAAUAACUCCCCGAAAGGGGUGCUAAUACCGGAUAAUGUCUUCGGACCAAAGAUUUAUCGCCUUUGGAUGGGCCCGCGUUGGAUUAGCUAGUUGGUAGGGUAAAAGCCUACCGAGGCGACGAUCCAUAGCUGGUCUGAGAGGAUGAUCAGCCACACUGGGACUGAGACACGGCCCAGACUCCUACGGGAGGCAGCAGUGGGGAAUAUUGGACAAUGGGCGAAAGCCUGAUCCAGCAAUGCCGCGUGAGUGAUGAAGGCCUUAGGGUUGUAAAGCUCUUUUACCCGGGAUGAUAAUGACAGUACCGGGAGAAUAAGCUCCGGCUAACUCCGUG
rnacentral:rRNA from 1 species